UCUCAUAUUCAAGUCGCCAGCAACCGCUUUGGUAUUUUCUGGCUACUGCACAACCCAAAUCAAUCUUACCCGUUGACAGUAAUUUAGCUGGAUCCACUCCAUUGUCCCUCCAACCUGUUUAUUGUUUAGAUUUUGAAAAAUAUGACAUCCGGAGUUGGAUCUAUUAUGAAUUUCGCUGUUCAACGUGCCAUUUGUUCAAAAUGGAGGCUCAUUCCCUCAGAGGAAAAGUAUAUGGAAUUUCGGGAACACAUCCAUAAGCGUCGCUUCAUUUGUUAAAAAGCCAGGGAAUGGCAUCCUCGUAUAUCGUGUAAUGAUUUAGCGGAUCUUGCAAAAGAUGGAAGUUGGCGCUGGGCAAUUGACAAACCCAGCAUUCUGCAACCCCCUCCUGGUUGGGAAAGGAAAGUGAAAAUCCGAUGCUUUGGAAGCACUAAAUAUGCGGAUGUGUAUUAUGAAGCACCAACAAAAAAGCAACUGAGGUCUUUGGUAGAUGUUCACAAGUACAAUUCUGCACUAUUUUGAAACUACUGUUUGUCUUUCACUUUUAUUCCUUAAAGCCUAAAUAGUUUAUACCUUUCUUUGUCUGCGAGUCUUCUGAUUCUUCUUUUUCGAGUUAUCUGGAUGCACAUCCACGACAUGUAGAAGGUGUCAACAUGUCGCAAUUUUCUUUUGAGACUUUGGUCGUCAAAGGAAUAAU